rnacentral:rRNA from 1 species
AUUGAACGCUGGCGGCAGGCUUAACACAUGCAAGUCGAACGAGUGGCGGACGGGUGAGUAAUGCUUGGGAAUCUAGCUUAUGGCGGGGGAUAACUACGGGAAACUGUAGCUAAUACCGCGUACCAUAGGAUGAGCCAAAGUGGGAUUAGGUAGUUGGUGAGGUAAAGGCUUACCAAGCCGACGAUCUCUAGGUGGUCUGAGAGGGUGACCAGGCAAACUGGAACUGGGCAACGGCCCAGACCACUACGGGAGGCAGGAGUGGGGAAAUUUGCGCAAAGGGGGUAAACUGACGGAGGCCAGCCGGGGGAAAUGAGGAGGCCUUCGGGGUUGAAAAUUCUUUUCGUAGGGAAGCGUUAACUACAGAAGAAGCACCGGCUAACUCCGUGCCAGCAGCCGCGGUAAUUC